GCAUAUCAAUAGUUAUUAUAUGGUCCAAGGUCAAUUUUUGUGGUCAUACUGGGUAUUGUGUUGAGGCUAUUACAAGCUACCCUUAAUAAGUCAAUUGAGAGGUGAAAAGAUAUUAUAAUAGUGGAAUCCAACAAAGAACUUAUAGUAUGGGAGAUAUGACUGAGCAAUCUUAGAUAGAGACUCAAAUACAAUACUUCUUAA
rnacentral:lncRNA from 1 species